rnacentral:rRNA from 1 species
GACUAACGCUGGCGGUACGCUUUACACAUGCAAGUCGAACGGGUAGUAAUACCAGUGGCAAACGGGUGAGUAAUGCAUAGGAAUCUGCCCUUUAGUGGGGGAUAGCUCGGAGAAAUUCGAAUUAAUCCCGCAUAAUGUCGAGAGAUGAAAGCAGCAAUGCGCUAAGGGAUGAGCCUGUGUCCGAUUAGCUAGUUGGUGGGGUAAAGGCCUACCAAGGCAACGAUCGGUAGCUGGUCUGAGAGGAUGAUCAGCCACAGUGGAACUGAGACACGGUCCACACUCCUACGGGAGGCAGCAGUGAGGAAUUUUCCGCAAUGGGCGAAAGCCUGACGCAGCCAUGCCGCGUGAAUGAUGAAGGUCUUAGGAUUGUAAAAUUCUUUCACCGGGGACGAUAAUGACGGUACCCGGAGAAGAAGCCCCGGCUAACUUCGUGCCAGCAGCCGCCGUAA